GACGUGACUUCAGAGUUUGAUCCUGGCUCAGGACGAACGCUGGCGGCGUGCUUAACACAUGCAAGUCGAACGGAAAGGCUCCAGCUUGCUGGGGUACUCGAGUGGCGAACGGGUGAGUAACACGUGAGUGAUCUGCCCCAUACUAUGGGAUAAGCCUGGGAAACUGGGUCUAAUACUGUAUAUGACCGCAUCGUGGGUGGUGUGGUGGAAAGCCUUGUGCGGUAUGGGAUGAGCUUGCGGCCUAUCAGCUUGUUGGUGGGGUAAUGGCCUACCAAGGCGUCGACGGGUAGCCGGCCUGAGAGGGUGGACGGCCACAUUGGGACUGAGAUACGGCCCAG
rnacentral:rRNA from 1 species